UACGGAGGGUGCGAGCGUUGUCCGGAAUCAUUGGGCGUAAAGGGCGCGUAGGUGGCCCGGUCAGUUCGUGGUGAAAGCGCGGGGCUCAACCCUGCGUCGGCCAUGAAUACUGCCGCGGCUGGAGCACUGUAGAGGCAGGCGGAAUUCAUGGUGUAGCAGUGAAAUGCGUAGAGAUCAUGAGGAAGACCAGUGGCGAAGGCGGGUCUCUGGACAGUUCCUGACACUGAGACACGAAGGCCAGGGGAGCAAAACGGGG
rnacentral:rRNA from 1 species